UGCGACGUGGAACUACACGUUCAUCCCUUUGUUAGGGGAAAGGGUGGUUUGUGAGGAGGGGUGAGUGCACGAGGUCUACAAGAAAAGCACAAGUUUACGGUAGAAAAACGAGGGACUUGUAGUGUGGAGCGCUCUAGCGGACAUACAGCGAACUAACGCACCCUAUGAUAGUAGGGUGCCUACUAUAGUAAUAAUAGUGCUCAUCAUGUGUGCACUGGAUGAUUGUAGUUCGGUUGCUCCGCUCGUCAAGGGAGGCUCCUGCUUCGCCCUAGCUUCGCCACUGUGUGGGCCCACGACUGUUGUCAUGGAGACUGCCGGACAUAGCCACGUGGGGUGAACACUAUGAGACUGUUUGAAAAAGGACCAGUAGGUGAUUAACACUGGAAAAUAUGAAUAGCCUUUGGUGAACAAUAUGAGACUGUUUGAAAAGGACCAUUACGUGACUAACACUGGAAAAUUAUGAAUAGGUUUUGGUCUUGUGACAAAUGAACCACGUUGCAUAUCUCAAGGACCUUGAGAUAUACAAGAGAUAUCACACCUUGUACAUCAGAGUUCGAGAAACGGGAUUUUCCCUGCCCCUCAACUGGGGAUUAUUACAAUUGAACUUUAGGAGGACGCAGAUGAAAAAUAUCAAUGUUAUUCAAUAAACGUUUUAAGAAAUUA